rnacentral:rRNA from 1 species
AGAGUUUGAUCCUGGCUCAGGAUGAACGCUAGCGACAGGCCUAACACAUGCAAGUCGAGGGGUAACGAUUUCGAGCAAUCGAAAGGCGACGACCGGCGCACGGGUGAGUAACACGUGGAUUAUCUACCUCUAACACAGGGAUAGCUCGUCGAAAGGCGGAUUAAUACCUGAUAGUUCCCUUCGGGGUAAAGCUCCGGCGGUUAGAGAUGAGUCCGCGGCCUAUCAGCUUGUUGGUGGGGUAACGGCCCACCAAGGCGAUUACGGGUAGCUGGUCUGAGAGGAUGGUCAGCCACACUGGGACUGCGACACGGCCCAGACUCCUACGGGAGGCAGCAAUCAGGAAUCUUGCGCAAUGGGGGAAACCCUGACGCAGCGACGCCGCGUGAAGGAUGAAGGCCUUCGGGUUGUAAACUUCUUUUUUGCAGGACGAUAAUGACUUAACUGCAAGAAUAAGCACCUGCUAACUACGUGCCAGCAGCCGCGGUAAUACGUAGGGUGCAAGCGUUAUCCGGGAUUAUUGGGCGUAAAGGGUUGCGUAGGCGGUCUAUAAAGUUUGCAGUGAAAUUCUUCGGCUUAACCGGGGGCCCGCUGUAAAUACUGGUAGACUAGAAUCAUGGAGGGGAAAGCGGAACUCUUGGUGUAGGGGUGAAAUCCGUUGAUAUCAAGAGGAACACCAAAGGCGUAGGCAGCUUUCUGGCCAUGUUUUGACGCUCAGGCACGAAAGCGUGGGGAGCGAAACGGAUUAGAUACCCGUGUAGUCCACGCUGUAAACGAUGAAUACUAGAUAGUCGUCCCCGCUCAGGGCAAAAGACUUUGAGUGGAAAGUUUAAAGUUUCAAAUACUUAAUACCAAGCAAACGACUAGAUCUAUAUGUUGGUAGGAACAGUUAUUCUUAACAAUAUAUGGAUUUUGUGUUUGAUUUGAAAUUUAAUAUUUGUAUUUUAAAGUUAUCAAAGCUUUGCUUUGAGCGGGAUGACUGUCGUAAGCUAACGCGUUAAGUAUUCCGCCUGGGGAGUACGGCCGCAAGGCUAAAACUCAAAGGAAUUGACGGGGGAACGCACAAGCGGUGGAGCGCGUGGUUUAAUUCGAUACUAAACGAAGAACCUUACCAGGGCUUGACAUUCUAGUUGCACAUUCUGUGAAAGCAGAAUUCCUUCGAGGGUACUAGAACAGGUGUUGCACGGCUGUCGUCAGCUCGUGUCGUGAGAUGUCGGGUUAAGUCCCACAACGAGCGCAACCCCUAUUACCUGUUGUAUCACUCAGGUGAGACUGCUCGCGCAAGCGAGAGGAAGGUGGGGAUGACGUCUAGUCAGCGUGGCCCUUAUGUCCUGGGCGACACACACGCUACAAUGGCCGAGACAACGAGUUGCAAUCCGGCGACGGGGAGCUAAUCUCUUAAACUCGGUCUCAGUUCGGAUUGUUCUCUGUAAUUCGGGAGCAUGAAGUUGGAAUCGCUAGUAAUCGCAGGUCAGCCAUACUGCGGUGAAUACGUUCUCGUUCCUUGUACACACCGCCCGUCAAGUAGGGAAAGCUAGGGGCACCCGAAGGUCGACUUUGGUCGGACGAAGGUGAAACUGGUAAUCAAUGCUAAGUCGUAACAAGGUA